GCCCUGUCAAAUAAGAGAUAUCUCUAUUCUCGACUAAUUUGGAAUUAGCCUAUGAACACUUGUUAGAGCGAAAAAAAGGUGGAUUUAAAGGGAAAUAUCUGUCUUUUAACAUUAAAAUGCUGUCAAAUAUAUACUCACAAUGAGGGUUUUUUUUUUUUUCUUUUUCGUCAACUCUGGCUAACAA